rnacentral:tRNA from 1 species
GACCUCAUAACUCAGUCGGUAGAGUACACGCCUUUUAAGCGUCGAUGCGUUGGUUCAAAUCCAACUGAGGUCA